CAUGAAUGCAGGCUGGCAGAGAGGCUAGCCUCCCCUUCUUCCAUGUAAACCCCUAAUAAACACAAACAGGACUUGUUCCCUCCUGCAGCCUCUUCCAGCCCUGUGCUUAGUUCAUGCAGACACUUUUCAAACACCAUGACUCGCCACUGUUUCUCCUUAGGAGUCCCCAGGAGAAUGGAGAAAGGAAGUCAGCUGCAAGCAUGUUCAACUUGAGAGUGCUACACAAGCUACUACUUGAAUCUGUUCAAGAAGUGCUUAUUGAAAGAGCAGAUGAUACUAGCAUUUGACACAAAGACAAUGAGACAGAACAAUGCCAGCAUGAAGAAACACUCAGAAACCAAGAGACAUUCAUAUCAAAGAGCAGUGAUACCCUUGGAAUGAAUGGGAAAUUGUCCCAAAUUUCCCAUGCUGAAGGUUUCAGGAUGACAUUACUCACUGUGUUAAUGCAUAAGGAGUUAGUGUUCCAAAGCAUGGGGGAAGCUCUGAAGGACCAAGGUCAAGAACCCAACAGGAGCCCAAAGACGCCAACAGAGAAACCUCAUUGCUGUUCUUGAUACCUGUGAAAGUGGGGGUUGCAAGUAGCUCAGCUGAAGAGAAGGGUGAGCAUGUGUGGACAAGAGAGAUGUAGUUUGUUUUUCUGGUUGGCACCACAUACUGUAAUUAAAGGCAGCAGAGAAUGGAGGCAUUUUUCGAAACCUUGCUUUCAUUCCCUCCCUAUACUCAAAAUUGCCUAUGGAGACAGCAAAAAUACUUCUCUUAUCUCCUCCUCCUUCCUAUUUUACCUAAUGUCCAACUUCAUCACAAGCACUGUAAUGCUGUAAUCAAACCAACAGCCUUCCUUCACUCAAGCUGUACCCUGCUCAUACAGCUCCCUGUCAUCUCACCCACGUUCAAGUCACAACAACUGCUUCCACGACACAGUUUUAUACAGAUUUGUGUCUCCAUUUCCCUUAAUGUCUAUGACAGCUGAGGUCACCAUGCAGCCUUUCACGAAGACAGGUUGGCCCUCUGUUCUUUCUCAACACCUUUCAUAAAAAUUUUAAGAAAUGGACUCAUUCAAAAGUUCUUGGAGACAUUCAGAUGGGCAGAAGGUGCACUUGAAUGUAUGCAUACUGUGUGCUUGUUGAAGUAAUAGAGAUUAAGAAAUUAUCAAAAAAAAUGUUUCAUAC
rnacentral:lncRNA from 1 species